rnacentral:rRNA from 1 species
UGCAAAGGUAGCAUAAUCAUUAGUCUUUUAAUAGAAGGCUGGAAUGAAAGGUUUAACGAGAAAUUUACUGUCUCAAUUACAAACUUGAAUUUAUCUUUUGAGUCAAAAGACUUAAAUAUAAUUGAUGGACGAGAAGACCCUAUAGAGCUUAACAAUUCUUUUUCUAUAUUUAUUUAGUAUAAUUAUUUGUAUAUAUUAAUAGAGUUGUUUUGUUGGGGUGACAAUAAAUAUAUAUUUAACUUUUAUCAUAUUAUGAACAUUAAUUUAUGAUUUUUGGAUCCAAAAAUUUUGAUCAAUAGUUUAAGUUACCUUAGGGAUAACAGCGUAAUCUUCCCUCAGAGUUCAUAUUUACGGGAAGGGUUGCGACCUCGAUGUUGGAUUAAGAUAAUAAUUAGGUGCAGUAGCUUAAUUAAUAGGUCUGUUCGACCUUUAAAUUCUUA